GACGAACGCUGGCGGCGUGCCUAAUACAUGCAAGUAGAACGCUGAAGGAGGAGCUUGCUUCUCUGGAUGAGUUGCGAACGGGUGAGUAACGCGUAGGUAACCUGCCUGGUAGCGGGGGAUAACUAUUGGAAACGAUAGCUAAUACCGCAUAAUAGCAGUUAUUGCAUGAUAACUGUUUGAAAGGUGCAAUUGCACCACUACCAGAUGGACCUGCGUUGUAUUAGCUAGUUGGUGGGGUAACGGCUCACCAAGGCGACGAUACAUAGCCGACCUGAGAGGGUGAUCGGCCAAACUGGGACUGAGACACGGCCCAGACUCCUACGGGAGGCAGCAGUAGGGAAUCUUCGGCAAUGGACGGAAGUCUGACCGAGCAACGCCGCGUGAGUGAAGAAGGUUUUCGGAUCGUAAAGCUCUGUUGUAAGAGAAGAACGAGUGUGAGAGUGGAAAGUUCACACUGUGACGGUAUCUUACCAGAAAGGGACGGCUAACUACGUG
rnacentral:rRNA from 1 species